GUAGGUGAACCUGCGGAAGGAUCAUUACCGAGUUAGGGUCUUCAGGCCCGACCUCCAACCCUUUGUUAACUAUACCAUGUUGCUUUGGUGGGCCCGCCUUUAGGGGCCGCCGGGGACUUUCAUAUCCCUGGUCAGUGCACGCCAGUAGCCUUCUCAAAUUCUAUUGUAAUUAUGUCGUCUGAGUUUAGAUAUAAAUCGUUAAAACUUUCAACAACGGAUCUCUUGGUUCUG
rnacentral:misc_RNA from 1 species